UACGGAGGGGGCUAGCGUUAUUCGGAAUUAUUGGGCGUAAAGGGCGCGUAGGCGGCCCGGUAAGUCAGAGGUGAAAUCCCUCGGCUAAACUGAGGAACUGCCUUUGAAACUGUCGGGCUUGAGGCCGGGAGGGGGUAGCGGAAUUCCCAGUGUAGCGGUGAAAUGCGUAGAUAUUGGGAGGAACCCCGGUGGCGAAGGCGGCUACCUGGACCGGUUCUGAGGCUGAUGAGCGAAAGCGUGGGGAGAAACCAGG
rnacentral:rRNA from 1 species